GGUUCCAUAGUGUAGUGGUUAUCGCGUCUGCCUCACACGCAGAAGGUCCUGGGUUCAAACCCCCAGUGGAACCA